AAAUUUACUUAUAAUUAGGGUUAUCUUGAAGGUUGGCAAAUUUGAUUAUGUUAAUUGCAUCUUGUAGGAAGAUGGAGCAGAUAAGAUUAGGACAUGGUAGAGGGCAACCACCCCUAAGUAUGGGUAGGGGCCGAGGUCAAGGUAGACCCAGAGGAGUUAGUGGGGGUGGUCAACCUCAUAGAGCAUCAUCUUAUUCAACAUCUUUUGCCCCU
rnacentral:lncRNA from 1 species